CUGGCGGAAUGCUUUACACAUGCAAGUCGAACGGCAGCACGGGGGCAACCCUGGUGGCGAGUGGCGAACGGGUGAGUAAUACAUCGGAACGUGCCCAGUCGUGGGGGAUAACUACGCGAAAGCGUAGCUAAUACCGCAUACGAUCCAAGGAUGAAAGCGGGGGACCGUAAGGCCUCGCGCGAUUGGAGCGGCCGAUGGCAGAUUAGGUAGUUGGUGAGGUA
rnacentral:rRNA from 1 species